CUCAGACGCCGUGGCUGGCGCCUACCACUGACCACGACUUACCAGCGCAGCGAGACGAGGGCGCAGUACACUGGCUCUCCCGACCGGGACGCGCGCGUCUCGGAAUACGUCGGGCCCCAGCCCCCACAACUCGCAGACCACCACCGCGGGGGGCCUUCCCAGUAUCCGACCGGGGGGUCCUGGCCGCCGACAGCUCUAUCUGACCACCUCGGCGCUGGAGUUUCAGUUCUAUCCCAAGACGGAGCUGUCCCGAUACCCCCGCAAAGACUCCCUGACCUACUGGAGCUUCGAAGAGACGCCCUAUUUCUGGGGUCACGACCCGCAGCGGUCGCCCUGUCCGCGCUCCUCCCGGCCGCCCCGAGCGCCGCACCGCGGGGUCCGGACUCUGGUUCAGGCAUCCUACAGCCCCUCGCUGCACCCGCUCCGCCGACUCGACCGCUUCCGCCCGCUGGAGGCGCCUUGGGGUGGCCCCCACUGGAAGCCCUUGCCGGGCAUCCACAGCGUGCCGAAAGCCUACAGCCCCCAGAACUUCGGCUCUGGCAGCUUGAAGCCGACGCUAGUGGGAGCCGGCAGGGCCAGCCCCACGCCAGACACGCCCCCUGGCCUCGCGGCGGAGAGGAGCUCGGGACCUCCGCCCACUACGCGGUGUCCGGACUUAGUUGGGCUCGCACUCAUUACGUCUAUCGGCAAUAUCGGGGUCCGACUACCCCAGACACGCCCACUCAGCUGCGGCAACCCGGAGAGGGGACUAAGUCCAGAUAUUGUCCUUGAAGAUUGUGGCCCCGCGGGCAGGACACGCCCCCUGCGGGCAUAUUAAUUAAUAAGUUAAAUUACCUGAACCACACGCAUUUCCGGGGACCGCUCCGGGCAUCCUAGCUUGAGGGUAGAGUGGGCGGAGGUCCCUAAGGGAGAGAUGGGGCUCUGGCUGAAUCCCUCCUUGGGGGUCAUCUGGGUAAAGCGGCUUCCCGGGCAGCACAGUCACGGGGAGGCCCUCGCAGAUUGGGCAGGAGCUAAGUCCGAAGCCACGCCCCUCCUGGGAGGCUGGACUGUGGCGCAGGAAUGCCUUAAGUAGAGGAAGGUUGAGGCUUCGGUCCCGCACUUUUCUCGGGUCACCGCCUCCUCCCGGCUCCCAAGACCGCACCAUCGGCAGAGGCAGGUUUUCCUACACCCUACUCCCUGUG